AUAUCAAUAAGGGGAGGAAGAGAAACUAACCAGGAUUCCCUUAGUAACUGCGAGUGAAACGGGAAGUGCUCAAACCCUAAUCCGGUGCGGUCUCCGCGCCUGAAUUGUAGUGUAUGGGGUGGUUCACGGCCUGAUCAGUGGAGGGAAGUGUGUUGGAACGCACUGCCAAAGAGGGUGACAGUCCCGUACCUUCACCCGAGUGGGUCCACUGGGUUGCCCUACGAGUCGGUGUGUUGGGGAGUACACACCAAAGUUGGAGGUAAACUCCUUCUAAAGCUAAAUACGGGUACGAGACCGAUAGCGCACAAGUA
rnacentral:rRNA from 1 species